UACGAAGGGGGCUAGCGUUGUUCGGAAUUACUGGGCGUAAAGCGCGCGCAGGCGGUCUUCCAAGUCAGUGGUGAAAGCCCGGAGCUCAACUCCGGAACUGCCGUUGAAACUGUUAGACUUGAGGACGAGAGAGGUGAGUGGAAUUCCCAGUGUAGAGGUGAAAUUCGUAGAUAUUGGGAAGAACACCGGUGGCGAAGGCGGCUCACUGGCUCGUUUCUGACGCUCAGGCGCGACAGCGUGGGGAUCAAACAGG
rnacentral:rRNA from 1 species